GUUAUCCUUUAAAAGGCUUUGGCAUAUGAUCUCCACUUUUAGAGGCCAAAAAAUAUCUUGUUGGAAUAUCUAUAUUGAAGCUUGGCAUCAAUUCUGAAAACCAGAUCAACAUCAGGAUUUAUUCUGCAGCAUUGAUACUGUAGCCCAAUCUUUGCCAGGCCACUGUUUUGUUGUCCCAUUGCAGUGUGUAUUAACAUAGCAUUACACCAGGACAGCUUUUGGCAUUUCAAAUUGUUUAAGACAGUGCAAUUCUAGCGGAAUAUAUGCUUUGUAAUUAGUAUCUGUGAAGUUCCAGAGUAGGUAGCGUUUCUAGAGGGGGGAAC
rnacentral:misc_RNA from 1 species